CAAAGGGCUCACGGAGGAUACCUAGGCACACAGAGGCGAUGAAGGACGUGGUUACCUGCGAUAAGUCUCGGGGAGUUGGAAGCACACUUUGAUCCGGGAAUUUCCGAAUGGGGCAACCCCUUGAACGACCAACUGAAUAUAUAGGUUGGUGCGAGCUAACCCAGCGAACUGAAACAUCUUAGUAGCUGGAGGAAGAGAAAGUAAAUAACGACUCCCUCAGUAGCGGCGAGCGAACGGGGAAUAGCCCAAACCGAUAGUCUUGACUAUCGGGGUUGUGGGACAGCAAUAUGGAUCAACAAUUCUAGAAGAAACGUUUGAAUGGCGUGCCAUAGAGGGUGAAAGCCCCGUAAUUGAAAGAUGAGUUGACCUAGCUGUAUCCCGAGUAGCACGGAGCACGUGGAAUUCCGUGUGAAUCUGCGAGGACCACCUCGUAAGGCUAAGUACUACUGUGUGACCGAUAGUGAAACAGUACCGCGAGGGAAAGGUGAAAAGAACCCCGGGAGGGGAGUGAAAUAGAACAUGAAACCGUGAGCUUACAAGCAAUGGGAGCCCGACUAAUCGGGUGACCGUGUGCCUGUUGAAGAAUGAGCCGGCGACUUAUAGGCACUGGCGGGUUAAACCGGAAAUGGUGGAGCCACAGCGAAAGCGAGUCUUAAUAGGGCGUUUGUCAGUGUUUAUAGACCCGAACCCUGGUGAUCUAACCAUGGCCAGGAUGAAGCUUGGGUGAUACCAAGUGGAGGUCCGAACCGACUGAAGUUGAAAAUUCAGCGGAUGAGCUGUGGUUAGGGGUGAAAUGCCAAUCGAACCAGGAGCUAGCUGGUUCUCCCCGAAAUACGUUGAGGCGUAGCGUCUAGUGCUCCAGCAGGGGGUUAAAGCAACCAUUUCGGUGCGGGCUGCGAAAGCGGUACCAAAUCGAUAUGAACUCUGAAUACCCUGUGUGUAACUAGGCAGUCAGACUGUGGGGGAUAAGCUCCAUAGUCAAGAGGGAAACAGCCCAGACCGCCAGCUAAGGUCCCAAAAUUAACGCUAAGUGAUAAAGGAGGUGGGAUUGCCCAGACAACCAGGAGGUUUGCCUAGAAGCAGCCAUCCUCAAAGGAGUGCGUAAUAGCUCACUGGUCGAGCGAUCCUGCGCCGAAAAUGAAUGGGGCUAAGCGUUAUACCGAAGCUGCGGAUAAAUUUAUUUAUGGUAGGGGAGCGUUCUAUGUUGGGUGAAGCGUUAGCGUAAGCGGACGUGGACGGCAUAGAAGUGAGAAUGUCGGCUUGAGUAGCGAAAACAUGGGUGAGAAUCCCAUGCCCCGAAACCCUAAGGGUUCCUCCGGCAGGCUCGUCCGCGGAGGGUUAGUCUGGACCUAAGGCGAGGCCGAAAGGCGUAGUCGAUGGAUAACAGGUCAAUAUUCCUGUACCAGUUAUGUUUUGGGAAGGGGGACGGAGAAGGCUAGCCAGGCCAGAUGUUGGUUACUGGUUCAAGCGUUCAAGGCUUUGAGAGAUGGAGAAAACAUCUUGAGCUGAGGCGUGAGUACGAGCUACUACGGUAGCGAAGUUGGUGAUGUCAUGCUUCCAAGAAAAGCCCUAUACCCGUUAAGACAUAAGUGCCAGUACCCGAAACCGACACAGGUGGGGUGGUAGAGAAUACCGAGGGGCGCGAGAUAACUCUCUCUAAGGAACUCGGCAAAAUGGCCCCGUAACUUCGGGAGAAGGGGUGCCAGCGAGAGCUGGUCGCAGUGAAGAGGCGCAAGCGACUGUUUACCAAAAACACAGGUCUCCGCUAAGUCGCAAGACGAUGUAUGGGGGCUGACACCUGCCCAGUGCCGGAAGGUUAAGGAAGCUGGUUAGCUUUUAGCAAAGCUAGCGACUGAAGCCCCGGUGAACGGCGGCCGUAACUAUAACGGUCCUAAGGUAGCGAAAUUCCUUGUCGGGUAAGUUCCGACCCGCACGAAAGGUGUAACGAUUUGCGCGCUGUCUCGGAGAGAGGCUCGGCGAAAUAGAAUUGUCUGUGAAGAUGCGGACUACAUACACCCGGACAGAAAGACCCUAUGAAGCUUUACUGUAGUUUGAUAUUGUGCUCGGGCUCUAAUUGCGCAGAAUAGGUGGGAGACGUUGAAAUAGUGCUUGUGGGUAUUAUUGAGUCAUCGGUGAGAUACCACUCUAUUAGAGCUAGGGUUCUAACGUUUACCCGUUAUCCGGGAAGCGGACAGUAUCUGAUGGGCAGUUUGACUGGGGCGGUCGCCUCCUAAAAGGUAACGGAGGCGCACAAAGGUUCCCUCAGGCUGGUUGGAAAUCAGUCGUUGAGUGCAAAAGCAGAAGGGAGCUUGACUGUGAGACCUACAAGUCGAACAGGGACGAAAGUCGGUUUUAGUGAUCCGACGGUUCUGCGUGGAAGGGCCGUCGCUCAACGGAUAAAAGUUACUCUAGGGAUAACAGGCUGAUCUCCCCCAAGAGUUCACAUCGACGGGGAGGUUUGGCACCUCGAUGUCGGCUCAUCGCAACCUGGGGCUGAAGUCGGUCCCAAGGGUUGGGCUGUUCGCCCAUUAAAGCGGUACGCGAGCUGGGUUCAGAACGUCGUGAGACAGUUCGGUCCAUAUCCGGUGUAUGCGCAGGAAUAUUGAGAGGAUUUCUCCCUAGUACGAGAGGACCGGGAGGAACGCACCUCUGGUGUGCCAGUUAUCGUGCCAACGGUAAACGCUGGGUAGCCAUGUGCGGAGUGGAUAACCGCUGAAAGCAUCUAAGUGGGAAGCCCACCUCAAGAUGAGUAUUGCCAUGGCUUAAGCCAGUAAGGUCACGGGAAGAACACCCGUUGAUAGGCUCUACGUGGAAGCUUGGUAACAAGUGCAGCGGAGGAGUACUAAUAGACCGAGGGCUUGACCA
rnacentral:rRNA from 1 species